AAUGUGUUGUAUUUCAAAAUUAAAAUUUUGGAGAGCUAAACUCCACCUAAGAAGUUUGUUAUUUUCCUUGACAGUAUGAAGCCACUUCAGCACACCAUGGUCGGUUUGCAGGUGGAUACGCCAGCCCCAAACAUG